rnacentral:lncRNA from 1 species
ACCACCGUCAAACCGAAAAUCACCACCGGAAAAUUAAAAAUCACCGCUGCAAAACUGAAAAUCACUGUCUGAAAACGAAAAUCACCACAUCACCACCAUCUACAGACCACCUCCACCAUCCACAAACACCCUAAAUCUGAAAAUUCACCAACUACAAAACAAAAUCAGUGCUAGAAAACAAAAAUCACCACUGUAAAAUAUAAAAUCAUCAUCAGUAAAGGAAAAAAUCAACUCCAGAAAAAUAAAAUCACCAACGCCAAAACAGAAAUUACUAAGCGGAGCAAAACAGAUCCAACAAUAGCGUCUCCGGCGACACCACCACAACACCCAUUUCAACGCAUAUCCACCUUCAAACACCGCCCCUCCACCACCGAUUAACCCUUUCUUCCCCUAUCUCCUCUUUUGCCUCCGAUCCCGUCUUCUCCUUCUUCCUUUUCGCUGAAAACUCCACCUCCUUCUUCUUCACCGGCUCCUCCAUCGCCACCGCCAAGAAGCUCCACACCAACAUCAUGACGGAAAUCGAUGGUUUGGCCUGGUGAUGUUCCAAAAGAAUCGCGGCGAAAGAAUCAAAUAAGCAGUUGAUCGUGUCACUAGGAAGGCGGCUGCGACGACUUAGUGGAAGCGACGUCGUAACAGUCGUGGGGAGUGGAGGAGAAGCAGUGGUGGUUGGUGAGGGAGGUGGAUGCAAGAAAGAUGAAAAAUGAAAUGGGCAGAGAUGAAGUCACGGGAGAGAAAG